ACAUCACGUUAUAAAACCGGUUUCCGUACGAACACCGAAGUUAAGCAACGUCAUGCCUGAUCAGUAUCUAGAUAGGUUAUCGCCUAGGAAUACCAGGUGUUAUA